AACGCACAUUGCGCCCUUUGGUAUUCCGAAGGGCAUGCCUGUUCGAGCGUCAUUAUCCUUCCCUCACCCCCCCCGUUUGCGGGAGGUGGUCUUGGGACCGAGUCGGCACCCCAGCCAACUGGUCCUCAAAAGUAAUGACGGCGUCCGUGGGACCCUCGAUACAACGAGCUUUUUCGAAGGCACGUACCGAGUUUAAAGGACCUUCCGGGCCGGUCACACCUCUCAAUUUUUUUCAGGUUGACCUCGGAUCAGGUAGGAAUACCCGCUGAACUUAA
rnacentral:misc_RNA from 1 species